GCCACUGCCGGUGUCCUGAGCAGGCCGGGAUGGCUCACGCCAUUUGUCAGGGUGUGUGACCAAGCUGAAGGACAGUCACGUUUUGCUUCCAUCCUGUGCCCUGAAGGUGAGGGCAUUCCCUGCAGCCCCCUCCGUCCACCACUGUGUGACCACAAGUAAAACGUGCUGAGGAAAAGGCCACCAACACCAGUCCGCUUCGUCUAACUUGUCACAGACGCGAUGAAGACAUAAGUUACAGCGCCGUGAUCCAGUUACAGUGACUCUGCCUGAUUUCCAGGAGAAGGAGAAAGCUGCCUGCCUGUAAGAGCGGUCAGUUCUGCCUGGCUGGUUGCUGAUGAGACGGAGUCAUAGCAGAUGGAUUGGGUCACUCAUACUGCAAACGGCCCAGCCCUGGAAGCUGCCAGAGGAAGCCGAUGUUUUGGGAGGAAUCGCUCUCCACGGAGCAGCUGCUCACGAGUCCGCCGGUGCGGGUGCCUCCGGCUGCUGCCUGCUUUUCCUCUUGCCUGUGGGCCACCUCUCGUCACCCAGCAUCAGGCCACGGCCUGUGGCACACCUUCCCUGGUGCCACACACACCACGGGGGUGGGGGAGAAAGGAAACCCUUCUAGCCAAACCCCAAAGUCACCUUCAAAUGCAUUCAUUCGGAGUCAAGCUUGGGCCUUUCUUUAGGCAAACGCUGCCUUCUCGUUACACGGCUAAAGGGUGAUUUCACUCAUGUGCUCACAAUGCCUUCUGAAAAUAGACCGGAACGCCUUCUAAUAACACAAUCAAUAUCGGAGUGAUCACGUGUUACCAAACAAGCAUUGUGGGCUUUUAACUGAAGUCUGUUCCUUCCAUUGUAACUAACUGUGCUCACAGAACAAAAACACAUGUAUGGGGAAGUAGGAGAAAAGGCCCACAGUCCCUCACUGGACACCACCCUGCUCCGACUUAGGCAAAUCCCUAUGGGGUUUCUGUAACACAUGAAUGGUCUGAUAUAACGUGUACAUACAGUUCGGCAUCUGCCUCCCUCUUCCGUUCACCUCUCCCCUUUAAGAAAAACCUUCCUUGGCCCUUUGAAAUGUCAUGUAAGGGCUUCCUUUUUCCCUGGGGCUGACAGUGUCCCUGCUGCUGACCACCUCGAGCCUCCCAUCCUUCUGCCUUGGAUAACGCCCCAGGGAGCGUAGUGUGCACAGGGCCCUUUCCGCCUCCUCGGACCAGCAGCUGGGCUUGCAAAACUGGGUCCCCCGCAGUGUCUGGCCUCUCUGACCUAACACUAAGUCACUUGGUAUUUCAGCAUUGACAUUCUGUCCUAUUAGCAAUGCUAAUAAAACCUCUGAAAAGUAAACCUGAACAGUUAAGUGGCCUUUAAGAAAAUACUAUGGGAAUGGGAAUGGGGUGCCCAGUACCUCGGGGGCACCCGUAUUUUGAUCACAUCGUCCUGGGAAAACGGCAGCCACGCCGACCCAACUCUGUCACUGCAAAAGCUGAGUCAUUACACGGUGUCAAAAGAGGCAGACAAAUUCCCUGAUGACUCACGAAGUGAGGAGACAAGCGGCCUCGCUCCCAGCCACAGACAUCAUAGUUCCCGGAGG